rnacentral:rRNA from 1 species
GCGGCAUGCUUUACACAUGCAAGUCGAACGGUAACAGGGAGCUUGCUCCGCUGACGAGUGGCGAACGGGUGAGUAAUGCGUCGGAACGUGCCGAGUAGUGGGGGAUAACGCAUCGAAAGGUGUGCUAAUACCGCAUACGUACUGAGAUAGAAAGUGGGGGACCUUCGGGCCUCACGCUAUUCGAGCGGCCGACGUCUGAUUAGCCAGUUGGUGAGGUAAAGGCUCACCAAGGCGACGAUCCCUAGCUGGUUUGAGAGGAUGAUCAGCCACACUGGAACUGAGACACGGUCCAGACUCCUACGGGAGGCAGCAGUGGGGAAUAUUGGACAAUGGGCGCAAGCCUGAUCCAGCCAUGCCGCGUGUGUGACGAAGGCCUUCGGGUUGUAAAGCACUUUCAGUAGGGAGGAAGCGUUGUGUGUUAAUAGUACACAGCGUUGACGUUACCUACAGAAGAAGCACCGGCUAACUCUGUGCCAGCAGCCGCCGUAAAAC